rnacentral:tRNA from 1 species
GGGAGUUUGGUCUAGUGGUAUGAUUCUCGCUUCGGGUGCGAGAGGCCGCGAGAUGAUUCUCGCAACUCCCC